CCCGGGCCUUGUACACACCGCCCGUCACACCAUGGGAGUUGGUUUUACCCGAAGGUAGUGUGCUAACCGCAAGGAGGCAGCUAACCACGGUAGGGUCAGUGACUGGGGUG
rnacentral:rRNA from 1 species